GACAUAUGCUCUUUUAUCUGGUUUACAUGAGGCACAUUAAUCCAAAUGGAAAGCACAGAAGUGAAAAGGAAGACAAGACCAAGUAUUCUGAAGGAAAAAACAGAAAAUAGUUUUAGUUGUCUUACAUCUGUAUUUGCUAGGCUAGUUGUAAUCAGUAUUUUGUAAAAAGGAAAACUCAAAAUCAAACCAUUUUCUUCCCAAAGUGGAUGCAACUACAAACCACCAAUCUAUACCUAUGCUGUGCAGGUUAGAAAAGAACUAAUUUUUAUAAAAUGCGAGCUUCAAAAGCAUGUAUGACUUAUGUCAUAAUGCCUUUACCAAAAGUCCAGGAUUUGCAGAAAGAUGAAGCAGGACAGGGAGCACCACACCAGCCAGAAACAAUCAGAGUGUGAACAAAAAGAGUAUUGAUUCAUUUCAAAUUUUGUCUCAGCUAAUUUAAUUUCCCACUUCUACACAAACACUUAUAGUCAUGUCUGCAUAAGCUCAUAUUCUACAGGAGUAUUUUAUUUCUUCCUAAACCUAGCCAACAACGUUCUCAUGACACCAAAAACCUAACUGAAGGCAAGGAAUUACCUCUUUACCACAUACUUUUCCUCAAAAGCGCAUAUACAACCUCAAACUGGCCUAACAAGAUACAUCAAUUUUCACAUAUAACACUAUUUGAUUUCUUGUGAAGACUGAUACAUUUCAGUUGCAUUUACAUUUUUCUUUAGAAAAAUUUCCUUUAAAAUAAAACAUUCAAAGGUUUCCUAUGUAAGGUGUGGACUCUCUAAGUAAAAAUAAAACCAAAGCAUGUAAAACUAAGUGUAAAGGAGAUGAACCCAAGAACUUCACCAUGUGGAUGUUUGCCAACUACUUUCAACGACCGCUAUAUUAAAAAAAUUAUCAGGAGAAUACAGAAGAUAAUGAAAAGGGAGCUGUAAACAACACACCUUCCCCAAAACCAGAGGUGACGUGAAAAUCUUUGCAGGUAAACUUUCAUCAAUGGCAACAACAACAAAAAUCAUGCAGCCCAAACUAACGACAGUUCUGUCCUGGGAUACUUAUAUAUUUGUAAAAAUAAAUGCACAUAAAAGAUGCACGGUCUUUGCACGCGUUUAGCUCCAGCCCAGCAGAAUCCCUUGUCAUGCUGUGGACUUCCACCGUGACCUUAUGGUCGGGCUUGACCUUAAAGGUCUUUUCCGACCGAAAUGUUUCCGGCGCGGAAAUUGGCAGUGAUGUUUGGGAUGGGCGUGCAGGGAAGCGCCAGGACCUCGCCAGGACAAACACGGCAGUGUCAAACCGAGCGCGUCCCCCAAAACAAAGGGAACAACCUCCGAACCCCGAGGCUCGGAUAGACCUCACGGCGCAGGAGCUCUUUUGGUCACCUCCCGACGUUCCUUCGCCAAACGUGCCGCCCAGCUUUGCCCUAUUACCGCUGCCAUCAGCUAUGCCAUGGCAAGCUCCAUCCUACUCAAAAAUAACCCGCGGGGAGCGCAGCCAGCGCGGCCGCUGCGCUCCCCGGGAGGCGGCGGCCGGGGCCUCUCCCCGGCCCCGCAGCGCUCCCCCCGCGGGGCAGCGCGGCCCGGCCCGCCGGGAUCCCCGCCCGGGGCUGCGGGGAGCGGGGCGGCCCCCGGGGAGCGCCCGGCGGGGCGGGGAGGGGCGCCGGGCAGGGCGAGCGCCCGCGCCCCCGGCGGGGAGAGGCCGCGGCGAAGGGAGAGCUGCCAGCGCCUGGGGACGGGCUCCCCCCGCCACCCUCCGCCCCCUCCCUCCGUGUGUUUGUUGUGCUCCGGCACCGUCCCGCCGGCGCGUCCCUGCGAGCGGCGGCCGCUGACAGCUCCCCCCGCGCCGCCGAGAAACUCCUGCCUCAACUCCGCGUGUGCGCGGGGGCGCGGGGGUGUCCCCGCCGCCCCCGCCGAGAACCGUGUCUGCCUUCCCGAAAAGAGGAGGGGAAGGGGGGCACGACAAGGGGAAGCGGCGAGGAACUCCCGGCAGCGCACAGGGAGUACCCGGGCGACGCUGAAGGCAGCCGAGCGUCCUGGCAGGGAACGGACCCAAAAAGAAGGGGGAAGUCAGCAGGACGAGAGAGACACAUGGAUGAUGAUGAUGAGGAUGAAGAUGAGGAUGGUGAUGGGGAUCCCGAUGCUCCUCCUGCUCCCGCGGCUCCUCUCCUCCUCACCUCCGCCUCCUCCACCUCCGCCUCGCAUCGCUGGCCUCAGCCGCCGCCGACCAGCACAGGAAAAGCCCCUUCUGGAUGCGAGCGGCCGCUCCCCGCACACGGGCUGCGCUCCGCAGGACGCGCUCCGGGGGCAGCGCUCGGUACCCGCCCCGGCUGCGCUCGCUCCCCCCGGGCCCCGCGGAGCCCCCGGGGAGGCGGCCGGAGCCCGGCGGCGGGAGCGCUCCCCCUUCCCCCGGGGAGGGCGGUCGGAGCCCGGCGGCGGGAGCGCUCCCCCUACCCCGGGAAGGCGGCCGGAGCCCGGCGGGACCGCUCCCCCUUCCCCCCGCCGCGCGUCUGCGGCUCGGGGCGGUGGAGGCGGGGGGAGCCGCGGGCGCCCCGGGGGAUGGGAAGGAGGGAGGGAGCAGAGUUCAGCGCUGUGUGCGAGGGAGACAAAGUCUGGGGAGCGUGGCCGCUUUCCAGCAGCUCCGGCUGGAACAGCUGCGGGCGCUCAGGGUGGAGGGGGGGCUCCCCGGGCAGGGGCCCGGCUGGCUGGCUGCCUGCCCGCCCGGCUGCGGGGCGGGGUUAAGCCUCAUUACACGGGAUUUAACGUGUCCCGGAGGCCAGCGGGGACGCGGGCUCCGAGGGGAGGCGGGGGAGCGCCGCGGCCUCGCAGCCGGAGAAAAGUCCGGCCACGGGGCGAGGAGGCGGCCGCGCCCCCGGACUUUCCUCCCGGCGCUGCCCGGCCGCGCUCCGCUGCCCGCGGCGGGAGCGGCUCCGGCGGAGCGCGGCCGCCGGCCCGGGGCCCCCGCGCCGGGCACCGCCCCAAGGGCACCCCUGAGCCGCCCCCGCGGGGCCCCAGACCGGCCGGCCCGCCCUCCUUCCCUCCCUCCCUGCCGGGCCGGAGCGGAGGGAGCGGGUCGGGGCGCGGAUGCUGAAUCACGGAACGGGGCGCACGGACACGAGAGCAGCGCGGGAACUCCUGCUUGGCGGGCGGGUUCGGCAACUUCGCUGGACUCGCAGACGUGGUGGGGAGCGAUAGCCCCAAGGGUGCGCGUAAACGCAUCCCGAGAGCCCCGCACGGAGCGUGUUUCCAGUGGCUUUUAGGUUCUGUUUGAAUCCCAGUUGAUCAAAUGGCCUGGGGUAUCGCACAGGUUUGUGAGCAAUUAAAUUAGACCUUUGUGACAUUUUCACGUAACGUAUGAAAUACAUUAGAAAGUGACACAUUUGUCUCCGCUUACAUACAUUUAAAAUUAUAUAGAGCCAUCCCUGUUGUUCAACCAUGGAAGGAGAACAGCUGGAUUGUUGCUGGGCAGGCCUGUGCUGUGAGCGGCUGCUGUGGCAAUCAAAGGUGUGAAGAACUGUGUGGCACCGAGAGGGACUCGUGAGCAGGAACCUGAAGCGGAGAUGGAAUUGUAGGAAACUAUUUGCUGGCGUUAUCUGUCGCUUGGAGAAGGCAGAGGGACGAGCUGGGAGACGUGUCACCACACAUAAAUCCAAUGUGGGAGUGCUUUGUUGAUUCAGGAUAUUUGAACAGUUCUGUCAGGAAAAUUUUUAUGUUUAUACCUUGGCCACACUAACCACCUAUUAUAAAUUAUCGCUGUCUGGAAAACACACGUUUUUACAGCAAAUAUGUAAUAUUGAAUGAACAGGUUGUCUGCUUUGCUGAGUGUUAAGAGAUCCUCUAGCUCAUUGUAAACUAACUCAGGUGAGCUGACACACCUGCUGGUUUUAACUUUCAAGGGCAGGCAGCGUUGAAACUUUCAACUAGAAUUUUACAUUCUAGCCUUCCUUAAAAUAAAAGUUUCUGUAGUUUUGGAAUUGUUUCUGGAAUGUGAGACCCUUGCAGUACUGAUUAAACAAGGCAUGCUAGUGGCUUUAACUUCAAAACAUCUUAAAUUGUCCCAAUGUGCUUAAUAACAAAUACUUUCAUAAUAAAAAAAGUUGGAGACAGGAUGUUGUCUUAAAUCAGCAAGUUAAAGAAAAUUAUCCUGUUACAAUUAAAGGAAAAUGACAACUGGAAUGUAAAUAUAAUUUUGCCAUUAUAAAACUAAAUUGGUGUAUGGAACAUAAAUAAUAAAAUUAUUCUGGAUUCCAUCUGGAAUGGGAUCGAGAUACUUUCUGGUUUAUGACAUUAAUUCAGAACUCUGCCAGUUUAAUGAUCAUUCAUCACUCUACGUAAACCAAAUAAAAGUUUAAUUUUUGUUCUCUUCACACUUGUGUUCCCAUUGCAAAAAAAGUCCAAGUUAUCACAGAGGCUGCAUUUAAGCUUCGUCAGCAACAUGGCAA